GACGAACGCUGGCGGCGUGCUUAACAUAUGCAAGUCGAACGGAAAGGCCCUGCUUUUGUGGGGUGCUCGAGUGGCGAACGGGUGAGUAACACGUGAGUAACCUGCCCUUGACUUUGGGAUAACUUCAGGAAACUGGGGCUAAUACCGGAUAGGAGCUCCUGCUGCAUGGUGGGGGUUGGAAAGUUUCGGCGGUUGGGGAUGGACUCGCGGCUUAUCAGCUUGUUGGUGGGGUAGUGGCUUACCAAGGCUUUGACGGGUAGCCGGCCUGAGAGGGUGACCGGCCACAUUGGGACUGAGAUACGGCCCAGACUCCUACGGGAGGCAGCAGUGGGGAAUAUUGCACAAUGGGCGGAAGCCUGAUGCAGCAACGCCGCGUGCGGGAUGACGGCCUUCGGGUUGUAAACCGCUUUCGCCUGUGACGAAGCGUGAGUGACGGUAAUGGGAAAAGAAGCACCGGCUAACUACGUG
rnacentral:rRNA from 1 species